AGGCCCUAUAUUCCAGGAUCUGAUCCCAGGUUUUCUGCUUUAAACUGGAUUUAUAGGUUCACACUGCCAGAUAACUAGGAUAAUUAAGAAAACCUGGAUCAGAUCCUGGGAUAUAGAGCCUGUUUGGCAGGACCCCAAGAGAUAUUAAAGAGAAAACUAAGGGUAGUGAUGAUCAUAGUUGUUUUUCUCACCCAUUACUCAGGUGUCAUCAGCUUCAUAGUCAUUUUGGUGGUGAUCGUAGUCAUCCUGGUCUGUGUGGUCAGCUUAAGAUUCAAGUGCCAUCACUGUAAAGAUACAAAAGCAGAUAAAAAGAAACCUCAGCAUCCGGUAGUAUCCUAUAGGUAAUAAUAUUACUUGCAUUUUUUGUGUAUGUUACAAAUGAAAUAUUCCUGCUGCUAACUACGUUAGUUUCCAUUUGCUUUCUUACAUUGUUUCUGAACUAUGUUCUAUUGUCGCUCCAAAGAAAAUUCGAGCAAGAUUAUAUAAUUUUAUGAAUGUACAUUAAUUACAACCAGUGUACUAGGAUUGACAGCCAAACAUUUCCCUUUCUCUCCAUUAUGCAGCCACUGAUACCAAUAUGACAGAUAAUUUUUCUGAAUGUGAAAGUAGACUGAUAAAACAAAAUUGAAUUUCCUAAAAAUUACGUAGAUGUUUGGAUUACCCCAAAUUUUAAAAUAAUAACCAGUCCCAUUAAGGCCUGCACUGGUUAUAAAUUGUAUUGCCCCGUUGCCCUUUUUCUCAUUCAGCUUAUUUCAGUGCCUUUUUCACUCACCAUUGCUGUUUUCCUUCCUACGGUUUUCGUUUUCAGGAUCUUUUUGGAUUCUUAAGGGUGGUAAUAGUUACUUAGGGUUUCAAUACACGAGGAGGGGGAGGGGGACAGGUAAUAUAUACAUAUGCUCUGAAGAAAGUUAUAAAGUUUCCUUUUUCUACACUGCCCUCAACUGCUGAACACCUAUCAUGACACUGAAUUUGGUGGGUGGGUGAAAUACAGUAUUUAUCUGGUGGAGAUGUAUAAUUGCAUGCUUUUUAAGAAUAGGGGUGGGAAGAGAUGGUCUUAAAGUAAAAUGUUAGAAUCAGUGUGAGAAUCCAUUUAGCAUUUUAGUUAAAUAAGGUGGUGAGGAGAAUGCAGAAAUGGAAAGAACGGAUCCUAGUUACUUCUGAAACAUAUUAUGGCAUAUAUUUCUGUACGUGGCCCCACUAUAUUCCUUAUUUAUUUAUUUCUUACAAACAAAUUAUGAACUCUCUAAUUUAGGUCAAAGUUCCUGAAAUAAACCUCAAACACUAGGUUUGAAAAACCUAGCUGCCCCCCUAAUGUGGAAGUAUGUAAG
rnacentral:lncRNA from 1 species